GGGGGUGGGGAAGCAAGCCAGAGGCUCAAUGACAAAUCGGCAGGGGACUGCUGGGGUCCAGCCCCGGGUGGAGGCGAAGGAGAGGGCGGGGCAGGCUUAAGAGCUGCGGGAUCGGUGCGGACGGCCGAGGCGGCGCGGGACGGGUCCCAGCUCUUCAACCGGGUCCUCUGGUCGUGUGUCGCGACCUUAGACAACCAGCGGGAUGGCCGCAAACAAGAGUAAGAGCCAGAGCUCCCUGGCCCUUCACAAGGUGAUCAUGGUCGGCAGUGGAGGGGUUGGCAAGUCGGCCCUGACGCUUCAGUUCAUGUACGAUGAGGUAA